rnacentral:rRNA from 1 species
AACGAACGCUGGCGGCACGUUUUAAGCAUGCAAGUCGAAUGGCAGCAGGGGCAACUCUGUGAGAAUGGCGAACGGGUGAGUAACACGUAGGUGAUCUGCCUUGAGGAUGGGGAUAGCCUGUGGAAACACAGGGUAAUACCGAAUGAGCUGACGAGACUUUGGUUUUGUUAGUAAAGGUGCUACGUCACCGCCUUGAGAGGAGCCUGCGGCUGAUUAGCUAGUUGGUGGGGUAAGAGCUUACCAAGGCGACGAUCAGUAGCCGGCCUGAGAGGGUGAACACGCACAAUGGAACUGAGACACGGUCCAGACUCCUGCGGGAGGCAGCAGGUAAGAAUCUUCCGCAAUGGGCGAAAGCCUGACGGAGCGAUGCCGCGUGAUCGAUGAAGGUCGAGAGAUUGUAAAGAUCUUUUCUACAUGAGGAAUAAGUCUGGGAGGGAAUGCCCGGAUGAUGACGUUAGUGUAGGAAUAAGCCCCGGCUAAUUACGUGCCAGCCGCCGCCGUAA